UACAGAGGGGGCAAGCGUUGUUCGGAAUUACUGGGCGUAAAGGGCGCGUAGGCGGCCUUCUAAGUCGAACGUGAAAUCCCCGGGCUCAACCCGGGAACUGCGUCCGAUACUGGAAGGCUUGAAUCCGGGAGAGGGAUGCGGAAUUCCAGGUGUAGCGGUGAAAUGCGUAGAUAUCUGGAGGAACACCGGUGGCGAAGGCGGCAUCCUGGACCGGUAUUGACGCUGAGGAGCGAAAGCCAGGGGAGCAAAGCCGG
rnacentral:rRNA from 1 species